ensembl:lncRNA novel transcript
CCAAUGAAAUUCUAGCCUUUAAACACGAGUUCAUGAUGCUUCCUGCUUUGGGGAUUGUGGAUGUGUGUUGACACCUGGGUCCCUGUCCCCCAGUGAUGACAAAGAGCAAAGGCACCUGCUGGCCCACGCUGGACACACAUGUGAGAAAGACAUGCAUCUGUGAAGUGCUCAGCUGCUGUGGUGUGGGGCUGUUUGUUACACAGCCCAGCCAAGCCCAGCCUGACUGAUACACUCCCUCAAGCAUGAAUAGGGCUCUGCCUCUCCAAUGAGGGGAGUGGGGCCCAGGGCUGUUUCUCAGCGAUGUCCAGAACACCUUACUCCUAGGUCCCCCAGAAGCAAUGACAAGAAACACCACAGGAGGCAUCUGUGGAGGAGCUGGUCGUGGCAGGGUGGGCACAGCUCUGCCCUGCUGUGGAAGGAGUUGACGAUCCCCCAGGGCCCUGUCCCCGAGGGAGGGCCUGGUCUCCUGAGCAGUGUCCUGGAUCGGGGCUGGCGUGUGAGUAAAAGUGGGUCCAGCCCUCCCCACCCCAAGCUGGGAGAGGUGAGACCCCCACAGCCCACUAGGCGCCAGUGACUGAUGGGCCCGCCACUGUCUUCACAGCCCCCAGAGUUCUCUGGUAAUCACAGGCGUGGAACAUGUGCCAGGAACCUUUGGUUUGCGUGUACCUUUAGAUGCUCGGAUUAAAUUACACCCAUAAUGCAUUA